AUUCCAGCUCCAAUAGCAUAUAUUAAAGUUGUUGCAGUUAAAAAGCUCGUAGUUGGAUUUCUGGCAUGAUGCGCCUGGCCCGCCGUGAUUACGCGUGUGUGUGCUAGUGCGCGUCUGCCAUCCAUUGGCAGAAUAUGUCUACCCUUAAUUGGGCCGGAUAUGUGAUGUCAAUCUUUUACUUUGAAAAAAUUAGAGUGUUUAAAGCAGGCAUUUGCUAUGAAUACAUUAGCAUGGAAUAAUAAUCUAGGACUUCGGUUCUAUUUUGUUGGUUUCUAGAUCUGGAGAAAUGAUUGAUAGGGAUAGUUGGGGGUGCAAGUAUUAAGGGGCCAGAGGUGAAAUUCUUGGAUUCUCUUAAGACUAACUUAUGCGAAAGCAUUCACCAAGGAUGUCUUCAUCA
rnacentral:rRNA from 1 species